GUGAGGAUAAGAUAAGAGGAUGGGAGGGAGAAGUAACAAAAGUGAAAAAUAAUUUCAAAUAGAUUUCAAUUUUUAAAUUUUGUUUUCACUUUUGUUACUUCUCUCUCUCAUCACUCCUCUCUCCCAUCUCUCA
rnacentral:miRNA from 1 species